rnacentral:rRNA from 2 species
CUGGCUCAGGACGAACGCUGGCGGCGUGCCUAAUACAUGCAAGUCGAACGAACUCUGGUAUUGAUUGGUGCUUGCAUCAUGAUUUACAUUUGAGUGAGUGGCGAACUGGUGAGUAACACGUGGGAAACCUGCCCAGAAGCGGGGGAUAACACCUGGAAACAGAUGCUAAUACCGCAUAACAACUUGGACCGCAUGGUCCGAGCUUGAAAGAUGGCUUCGGCUAUCACUUUUGGAUGGUCCCGCGGCGUAUUAGCUAGAUGGUGGGGUAACGGCUCACCAUGGCAAUGAUACGUAGCCGACCUGAGAGGGUAAUCGGCCACAUUGGGACUGAGACACGGCCCAAACUCCUACGGGAGGCAGCAGUAGGGAAUCUUCCACAAUGGACGAAAGUCUGAUGGAGCAACGCCGCGUGAGUGAAGAAGGGUUUCGGCUCGUAAACUCUGUUGUUAAAGAAGAACAUAUCUGAGAGUAACUGUUCAGGUAUUGACGGUAUUUAACCAGAAAGCCACGGCUAACUACGUGCCAGCAGCCGCGGUAAUACAUAGGUGGCAAGCGUUGUCCGGAUUUAUUGGGCGUAAAGCGAGCGCAGGCGGUUUUUUAAGUCUGAUGUGAAAGCCUUCGGCUCAACCGAAGAAGUGCAUCGGAAACUGGGAAACUUGAGUGCAGAAGAGGACAGUGGAACUCCAUGUGUAGCGGUGAAAUGCGUAGAUAUAUGGAAGAACACCAGUGGCGAAGGCGGCUGUCUGGUCUGUAACUGACGCUGAGGCUCGAAAGUAUGGGUAGCAAACAGGAUUAGAUACCCUGGUAGUCCAUACCGUAAACGAUGAAUGCUAAGUGUUGGAGGGUUUCCGCCCUUCAGUGCUGCAGCUAACGCAUUAAGCAUUCCGCCUGGGGAGUACGGCCGCAAGGCUGAAACUCAAAGGAAUUGACGGGGGCCCGCACAAGCGGUGGAGCAUGUGGUUUAAUUCGAAGCUACGCGAAGAACCUUACCAGGUCUUGACAUACUAUGCAAAUCUAAGAGAUUAGACGUUCCCUUCGGGGACAUGGAUACAGGUGGUGCAUGGUUGUCGUCAGCUCGUGUCGUGAGAUGUUGGGUUAAGUCCCGCAACGAGCGCAACCCUUAUUAUCAGUUGCCAGCAUUAAGUUGGGCACUCUGGUGAGACUGCCGGUGACAAACCGGAGGAAGGUGGGGAUGACGUCAAAUCAUCAUGCCCCUUAUGACCUGGGCUACACACGUGCUACAAUGGAUGGUACAACGAGUUGCGAACUCGCGAGAGUAAGCUAAUCUCUUAAAGCCAUUCUCAGUUCGGAUUGUAGGCUGCAACUCGCCUACAUGAAGUCGGAAUCGCUAGUAAUCGCGGAUCAGCAUGCCGCGGUGAAUACGUUCCCGGGCCUUGUACACACCGCCCGUCACACCAUGAGAGUUUGUAACACCCAAAGUCGGUGGGGUAACCUUUUAGGAACCAGCCGCCUAAGGUGGGACAGAUGAUUAGGGUGAAGUCGUACAAAGGGUAA